rnacentral:rRNA from 1 species
UACGUAGGGUGCAAGCGUUGUCCGGAAUUAUUGGGCGUAAAGAGCUCGUAGGCGGUCUGUCACGUCGGCUGUGAAAACUCGGGGCUCAACCCCGAGCCUGCAGUCGAUACGGGCAGACUAGAGUGCUGUAGGGGAGACUGGAAUUCCUGGUGUAGCGGUGAAAUUCGUAGAUAUUGGGAAGAACACCGGUGGCGAAGGCGGCCAUCUGGACUGCAACUGACGCUGAGGCGCGAAAGCGUGGGGAGCAAACAGG